rnacentral:lncRNA from 1 species
UUUAUUUUUUUUUAAUUAGAAUAUUUGGGAGUAAUGGAUAAGAAGAAAGUUGUGGCACCGCUUGUUUGUCAUGGGCAUUCUCGUCCUGUUGUUGAUCUGUUUUAUAGUCCAAUCACUCCUGAUGGAUUUUUCCUCAUCAGUGCCAGCAAGGGUAUUUUUUUACAUUGAUUGUUGUUAUGCCACUUUUUUUUUUUUUUUGGUAGUUUUGAUGGUUUAUUUAACUAUUGUGUGAAUUUGAUACAGCUGCGUUGUAUUUUUAUAGUCGAAAUGUUUUUUUGACUGUUUUGAAUGAGCUAGUUUAUUCUGAAAUCUGAAUUAUGAGCUAGUAUACAGUGUGUAAAGUCUGUGUCUGGUGUGCAUUACUUCUUGAAAAUGUCCUUAGAUUGUUUAUGGUAUUUAGUAUUUACAUUCUUAGAACCACCAGGCCGCCCCAUUUAUAGACAUUUGAUCUUGCCGUAUAAGUAUGGACUAGUCAUAAGUAUAUGCAAGUUAUUAUUGGCGUGAGUCUGAGUUUAUUUUGGAGCGAAUAGAGUAGCAUCACGUCUUCAAUUGUUGGCUCUGCCGUUGAACUUUAGAAUUUUUAUGGAUUUGCUUAGAGACAGUGUUAUCAAAAACUAAAAGCACAAAAAAAUGCUCUAGGUCUGUUGGCGAUUAGAAAAGGAAGCAAAAAAAAAGAAGCUCUAGGUCUGUUGGCAAUUGAUGCGCAAAUAAAGCGUGGGCUUUAAAGAGAAAAGGAAGUGCAAAAAAAAGCUCUAGGUCAGUUGGCGAUUUAAGCGCAAAUGAAGCGCGGGCUUUAAAGAGAAAAGGAAGCGCAAAGAAAAGCUCUAGGUCUGUUGGUCAUUUACGUGCAAAUAAAGUGUGGGCUUUAAAGAGAAAAGGAAGCGCAAAAAAAAAGCUCUAGGUCUGUUGGCCAUUUACGUGCAAAUAAAGCGUGGGUUUUAAAGAGAAAAGGAAGCGCAAAAAAAAAGCUCUAGGUCUGUUGGCGAUUUAAGCGCUUUAAAGAGAAAAGGCGCGAAUGGAGUUAAAGAUUAGAGAUACAGACAUAUAUGUUUAAUCCAGGAUUUAAUAACCACAAAUAUCAAUAUCAAAUAUAUGGACAAAGAGAUUGAUUUUUUUUUUCCAGAAAAAGUAAAAUAUUAAUUGUUUAGUGCUGCCUCUUAAUGAAACGCUCAUUCGCUAGGAAACGUUUGUUUUAGAUCCUUAAUGACAACACUGAAGCGGUGAAGCGCACAUUAAGUGAGGCAAAGCUCUAGACGUGUUUUGACUGAAGCUUUCAACAUGCUUUGAGCGAAGCGCUCAACGUGUUUUGAGCCUCACUUCAGGGCUUUUGGGCUUAAUUGUGAGAAUCCCGAGAAGCACCAAUCUAGGAAAGCCAAAGAAGAUUAUUCAUCAAUGUGAAGGGAUUUCUAUCCUCACAAAACUGAGGAAGACAAAUUGAAAGUGUUCCUGUAUUUUGUUUAGUCUAAGGUGUUGAUACGAAAUGCAUACUUCAUUUACGUGCAGUUUUUAUCAAACCUUGUUAGAGUAAACCUAGUUCUAUUAUCUGCAUUCAAUUCUAUCAAAAUAUAUUACCAAGUUCAAUGCAUUUUAUGGUAGGUGGACACUUAUGUUAUCGUCUUAUAUUUUGUAUGCCUAGUCUUUCCGCCAAAUACUCUAAUUGGUGGUAAAUUGAAUGAUUGGCAUGCUGCAGCACAUGGUAUAUCGGUUGUCAGUAGCCCCUGAGAUUUUGUUACUAUGUUGUCAGUGUUCAGGCAAGUCCUUAGGACCCGUUUGGCCAUGAAAACUUAAAACGUAUUCACUCUAUUUGUUUUUUUUUUUUUGAAUUUGAAAAUGGAGUUGAGAGUUGUGUUUGGCCAUAGUAUUUUCAAAAAUAUUUUAGACUUUGAUUGUACUUUUUUGUAAAGUAAUAGGAAAAAUUGUGUGCAAAAAAAGCGAGAACACCUUAAGAGGUGUUUUCAAAAAAAUAAAAUAAAAAAUUGUGAUAACAUAUUCCGGAAUACAUUUUUGGUCUUCAUGGCCAAACAAGUAUUCCGGAAUAAAGUGAAAACGUAUUCCAGAAUAUUCUGAAUAAUAUUUAUGGCCAAAUGCCUACUCAAUGUAUUACACCGUCGUAGAUGUUGUUCAGUGUACACUGUUGUCAAAAAGUACCUAUUUGCUCUCUUUCUUUUAAUAUUUGUUGAUUUAAUGCUUUUGUUUUUUGUUCAGUUUCCAAAAAAACAAAAAAUUGAAACAGUUUCCAAAAAUCCUUUUGUUUUUUCGCCAAGUCUAUGUAGACCUAUGAAAGAUAAUGCAAAAUUAAAGAAAAAGUUUUUUGUAGGCAAUAUUAAUUAGUUGGUAAUUAUGUUUUAGUCAUGUUAAUAUAGCAUGUACUUUAGGUCAUAUGCUUUCGAGGAGUCGGCCAUAUCAAAGAGUUUUAUUGCAAGUAGGAAAUAUAGAGAACUUCUAGUACUUUUAUUUUUAUUUGUGUUUUGUGUAGUUUUGGCGUGAGAUGAAUUUAAAUGGAGAAACAUGGUCAGUGAGGAUUCAUAUAAAUUCUAACCUAUACAAUUUGUUUGUGACUUAGGCAUAGUAGUUUUGUAUUUUUUCGUUCGCUGCAAUAAGUUUUCAUUUCAUUAUUUGUUCUUAAUCUAUCUUGAAGAUUCUACACCGAUGCUGAGAAAUGGAGAAACUGGAGAUUGGAUUGGAACAUUUGAAGGGCAUAAAGGAGCAGUGUGGAGUUGUUGUCUGGAUAAGAAUGCUCUUCGUGCUGCAUCUGCAUCUGCCGAUUUCAGCGCGUAUGUUAUCUAACGGCUUCACUUCAGUACUUUGAAAAUAAACAUUUAAGUGACAUUUGUAUGGAGACAUCAGUCUGCAAGAAGUGAUGUAGAACAAUAAUAGUGCUUUUGUGGCAUGUCUAUUACUGGCCGAUCUUUCAUGUCAUUAUCUACAUAGAUUUAUUAUUAAAUAUCUAAUAGCAUAUUGAAUAUGGUAGAAGCUUCGUCAUCCUUUUUAGAGUUCUCCAUAGCUUAAUUGUCCCUUUUUUUCCUUUUUAUAUUGUGUGAUUUGUGUUGGUUGUUUUUAGGAAAUUAUGGGAUGCAUUAACUGGGGAUGUUUUGCACUCAUUUGACCACAAGCACAUAGUUCGAGCCUGUGCCUUUUCAGAGGUACCUUUACAACCAUAUUUCCUUUACUUCUAUAAAAGGUCUUUCGGGUUAGAGCUUUAUAACUUCACUUAAGUUGUAGUAACCAAGCUAUGAUAUCGAUUUAAUAGAAUACUAUUGUACUGCUAUUUUCUGGUCUUUGUUUGACACAUGUAAAGGGUCUAAUGAAUGUAUUUCUGUUCUUUUAUAACUCUUUUUUUUGAACUUUGCAUCUCCUUGAUGCUUUAAUAAUGAAAUACCUUCAUAAAACAAUAGAAUACUGUGACUGUAUAUGCCCAUCAAGGCUUAUGCAUAUUGGCAGAAAUCACACUUCAUUGACAGGCAGGCCACACUCUUGGGUGCUCAUGUAAAGUCUCCUUAUUUUAGGUUGAAAAAUAAGAGCAGAGAAUGCCAAUUUCAAUUAUUGCCAAGUCAUGAGAGGCUACUGCUAUUGAAAGGCAAACAUCUUUCAUUGUUAAAAACUAACUGAGAUUUUUUCAGGCUUGAGUUAAAUUCUCUAGUCAAUUCUAUGUGAUGGGAACUUAUCUUCCUUUUCUUUUUUUUAUCAGUACACGUGUCAAAGGGACUUCAGUCCAUAUUUAUCUUUCCCAUUUAUUGGCCUUCACAUUCUGAUAAUUUGUAUGAACUAUGUGUGGCGAUUUUGCAGGAUACAAAUCUGCUGCUCACCGGUGGUUUUGAAAAAAUUCUUCGGAUAUUUGAUUUAAACCGACCAGAUGCACCUCCAAGGGAAAUUGACAGCUCUCCUGGUUCAAUUAGGACAGUUGCUUGGCUGCACAGUGAUCAAACUAUAUUGAGUUCCUCUGGAGAUGCUGGUGGAUUGAGGUAGGCUUUCAAAAGUCCGCCGACUCUAUUUGUAUAUUUUGUUUAUGUUUUUCUUGCUGGUUGCAUUAGUGAUGUGGGCCAUGUGGCUAGUGCUCAUUGUCACUUAGACAUAGCAAGUAAUUGUACAUGCUCAAAGCUCAGAGGUUUGAUAAAUUGGUUGCUCACUGUCUUUGCCAAUACAAUGCUUGGAUUUGUAGAUCAAUUCACUGCGAAUAUUACUGGAUACUUGAUACAAAGGCCACACAUGUGGUUCAUAUUUCCGUCAUGAACUUUCACUCCCCCAGUAGUGCUCACUAUCUUAAAUUGGUUUAAUUUAAUUGUUGUAACCUAGGUUAUGGGACGUGAGGAGUGGCAAAGUUGUUCAAAUCCUUGAAACUAAGUUUCCUGUAACCAGUGCUGAAGUAAGUCAAGAUGGUCGUUACAUAACAACUGCUGAUGGUUCCUCUGUCAAGUUUUGGGAUGCUAACCAGUAUGUAUUUGUUUUUCAUACUUUAAUGGCACAAAGAUAUUUUAAAUAGAGAAUGUUGCCACAGUUUACUUUGCAUUUUAACCUUUUUCUUUAAAAGCAGCUUUGGAUUGGUGAAGAGCCAUGACUUGCCUUGCAAAGUUGAAUCUGCUUCCCUGGAACCAAAGUUCGGUAAUAGGUUCAUUGCUGGAGGAGAAGAUAUGUGGGUUCAUGUCUUUGAUUUUCACACUGGAGAGGAAAUUGGUAGGUUGUAUGGGGCUCGUAAAUAUUUAGAAACUGUAGUUACUCUGAUCAGUAUCUUUGUUUAUGUGUUCCUUUUUCUGGUUAUUUUUUCCAGUAUUUGCGUUUUCUCAACUUCACUAAAGGUUUUGCUUCUCUUUCCGUUCAAGCUUUAACCACAUGCUAUAUUCUGUUUCUGUACAACAUAGGUUGCAACAAGGGACACCAUGGUCCUGUCCACUGUUUGCGGUUCUCCCCAGGGGGUGAAUCCUAUGCCUCAGGAUCUGAAGAUGGGACUAUUAGAAUAUGGCAGCUGGGCCCUCUUGGUCAGAUUGAGGACAACGGGUCUACUACUGCAAAUGCCAGUGGUGAUGGUAUGGGUGAGGUGACCCAAAAGAUUGACGAGUUGGCUGUUUCAGAAACAAAGAAGACUGAAGGGACACAUGUUGAUGGUGUGGAGAAGGUAGUUGAUACCUGAUUAGGAGUUUUAAGGAUUUUGUAUGGUUUCACCUCUUGGAAAGCUUGUUUGUAACUUGCUUGACUUGUGAGGUUUUUUCGUAUUAAAUUAAACUUAAAGCUUUUGAGAGUGUUGGCUAUUCUUUUCUUGGCCGUGGUCCUAAUCAUCAGUCAUAUAAUCUAUGGAGUAGUUGUCUCUGUCAAGCUGAGAGAGGUACACACCUAGGUAGCUCUCUUCUCAGGUUCAUGACGUCCUUGAAUUUGCAAUUGCUUUUAAAAACCCGUAGGAUGUCCGAACCAGUAUAGCCGCAUACCUAGGAAGACUCUAGUAGCCUUUUAAGCCGCACACCUACGUAGCCUCAGAGCCUUGAAAAUUUUAUUUGUGCCCGUUUGUUUCAAUGUGUUGGUUCUUUUAAUGUCACGGGUCAGAGUUUAACUAGUUCUUCAAACUUUCGAUGAUUUUCGUGUAAUUAUAUUACAUUUUGCUUGAGUAACCCUUUCUGUAGUUAAAACUUUUUAGGCAAUGCAGUAAAACUUUGUAGUUCGAUGCACUGGUUAAUAUCUGCAAUGCGCAUUUGUCAGCAGCAUUGAUUCAAAGUGCCGGAAUGCAGAAUUCGACAAUGAGGCAUAGUAAAUCACAGAAUAAUGCCAAUAAAUUCGUGCGAGAUUGAUGACCAGCAUCUAACUCUCAGUACAUUUUCGCCUAUGAUCAGCAAUUGGAGCUUCUUGAAUUUAUAUUUUCCGCGUAGGGUCUUUACAGUAUAGUUCAUGUACUUUAGUUUCUUAAAAAAAUUUCGCAGUUUGUUGUUAUAAAAUUAUAACGGGGAGAUGACUCACCUUUUAUUUGAGACGAUAAUUUCGUAAUUGUGUAAAAAAUUAUCAUGAUUUUAAGUAAUAUCUAUAGGCAGAUAUCACUAAUUUAAUCCCUCUGACCAAAAUGGACACCUAAAGUUUGGUGGUUGGUUAGAUUGUUAAGAGUCGUGCAAAAUUUAAUUAUUCAUGUAUUUGUUAUUUAUUUUUUAUCCACACAAAAUCAUACAUUCUUUAAACAUAUUUAUACCUGUUUAAUUAAUGCGAGAUGGUAAAAUAACAAGAAAACACCGUACAUAAUAUACUAAAUUUUAUACAGAACAACAAAAGAAUCACCCAACAUGACAUUAAUUAUACUAAAUUUAGUACUUUAUUCAUUCACUUUUAUUUGUUCACGUUGCUCUUUACACCUCAAUUAAGAAAUAAUGAUUAAUAUGAAUAUUUUAUCAUAAUAUUAAUUUAUUUCUAGGUUCCAGUCUUUAAAAAAUAAUUAAUUACUCUCUAUGUCUCAUUUUAUGUAUCGUCAUUUGACCGGACACAAAAUUUAAGAAAUAAAUGACGAUUUUGUGAAAUUUAUAAAAUUAUCUCUCUUAAAUUUUUAUUUUUAAUUAUUUUUCUUAUAAAAUAAGACUCUAUAAAAAUAAAAUAUGAAUAAUACUAUUAAAUAGUUAACAAAUAAAAAAAUAUAAUACUCUCUUUGAAAAAGACCCAAAAAAAAAAAGCACACAUCAAAUGGAAGGGAGGGAGUAAUAAUAUUUACUAUUAAGAAUAAAAAAAAGUAGGAAGAGUGUACGAAUAACAGUGAAGCAGCAGUAGAUGGAAAAAUAGUCCUUCCUAAACCGGCCAACCAAACGACCCCGUUUAUGUGUCGUACGUAUUAACACGCUAUAUAUAAUACUUAGGAUCCCGAGAGAAUUGAGAAGCAGGCAUGGUUGAAGAAGUAUCAGAAAGGGUGAUGGGUGAUUGUUCAACCUCUUCCAUGUCGUCUAAUUUGAGUGAGGUUUUUCACUUCUCAUCUGGAAACCCUCGCAUCGAAGAAACAAGAGGAAUCAUGCAUCUCUUCUCCAACAACCACCUUUCUUCUCACUUGCCUGUAUGUAUCCUCCUCUUCGUAUUCCAAUCCUUCUGAAUUUGAACUUUUAGUAUUCAGCAUUUUGAUCUUAUUUUGUUUUCUCAAAACUGUUGAUCAAUAAUAGGUCUAAGUUGUGUAAUUAACAAAAAAUAAAACAAUGACUAGGGAUUGACUAUAUGAAUCGGUGUUGAACCUUUAGAAAUGAAGUCGACUUAUCUAGUUCCAUUGAUGUUGUCUCUAGGUGGACAGAAAGCAGCUCCUUUGUGUGCUCUUUGUUCCGAAUCACAUGACGUAUGCGGACUUUUGUCAGUUUUGUGGUUCAUUUAUUCAACAUAUGUUGGAAAUGCGAAUUGUCAGGUACUCUAUUGUAGAUUUUGUGAGGUAUUUAUUUUGACUGGUUGGACUGUGAUUCGUUCUCAACUUUGGUGUCUUGUGUGUACUCCUCUAGGAACGAUGGAAUGGAAGAUUGUUACAGUAUAUUAAUCAGGUUUGAUCAGCAGAAAGCUGCUGAUACAUUUCACAAGCAUUUUAAUGGUAGAAAAUUUUCAUCUCUUGAGGUGUGUUUGAUCAAUAGUUCUCUCCUGCUUUGGCAUCGUAUUAGGUAUCUCAUAGCAUCAGUUUCAUGCUCCGUUCUUGUUUGUUGUUUCUUUGCUUGCAGGAAGAGACGUGCAAUGUCCUUUUUGCUGCUGAUGUUCAUUACACUGGUUCAAUUGAACAUACACAGUCCACACCUGCAAGCUCUACAGAGCAACCGUUCUGCGCUGUUUGUCUUGGUAUUUACCUUAUCUAGUUUCAAAAUACUUUUUUUUUUUUGAAAUGACUUCAUUUUUGGAGCUUACUCAUUCAACCACUGAGCACAUUUAAAGUGAGAUUCACUCCAAAAAUGUUAAGAGAUUUCCAUAUUCAUUCAUUCAUUUUCCUCCAAAUUGUUUGUAACUUUAGUUUUAACAUCUAAUGUAAAAGUUUACCAUUUGCUAUCAAUUAAAGAAUGUGAUGAUUUAGGCCAUGAGAAUAUCAUAUUAGCUUGCUUUAUCAUAUAGCUCGAUAGUAUGAUCUUAGAAGAUCUUAGAGAUAUGUUUUUUUUUUUCGUUUACUCCUUGGGUAGAGUCUAGUAGGUUUCAAGAGUUCCAAAACUAGGUCCUCAUUGAGUCUUCCACUAGAACAAGGAUUCUAGACUAGUAUCAACGAGGAAUAUUUCUAAGGGUUCUAAUUUGUUUGGAACAUUCUUAGAAAUGACACCAUUUACUUAUUUUGGCAAACUGGACUAGUAUAGAAGAAUUGAUUUGGUAUUGAAAUCUCCUUCUUUAUUCUUUCAUUUUCUCUCUUUGUUUCAUUUUAUCUCUUUUCUUUCUUUGUCUCUCCAUAUUUCCGUCUCUUUUCUCUCUAUCCAUCUCUCGUUCUCUCAUUUCUCUUUUAAACACCUUUGUCACAACCCAAGCUGGGGCCAUGACCAACACCCCAGGGGCUUGUCCCGCAAGUGAACCAACUCAACUUAACUCAAUGUCACAUUAAGCUACUUAUUAUCUACUUGUUCCAUCUCAUGACAAUGACUAAUAUCCAACAUGAUUAAAGUAUAAUAUAAACUUGGUAACAGCUACUCAAAGCUCCAUACAAACUCACAACUACUUAAAUGCUUCCCGUCUCAAAGCAUUUAUGAGCAAUUCGAGUAACUUGAUAGGAAGUUGAUUUCCGUGGUCAAGGUAGAUAUGAAUGUCUAUUUUGUCACCUCUACCCAUCCUCUUAGAUUUUACAAUCCUAAAUUUGCUUUCAUUUUUGGAAACGUUGAAUCAAUUUUAACAAUUAAAUAACAUUGAAUCAAUUUAUUAGAGUUUAACCUUAUAAAAGAGAUUGGUAUUCAUGUGGAUGUGUAGCCAGAGAUUUCCAAUUUUUGGAUGGGAAAUAUAGGAGUUUCCUCUCAUAUGUAUCUUAAUUCCUGUGCAAUUUGCAGAGAGACUGGACCAGGAUACAAGUGGAAUUCUUACAACCAUUUGUAAUCAUUCCUUUCAUUGUUCAUGUAUUUCAAAAUGGACAGAUUCUUCAUGCCCUGUAAGUAAUACCGUACUUUUAUCUUUCCAUCAUAUGUUUGACCUUCAACUUAGACAUGUCUAAGGUUUUUUUUUUUUUAAAGUUCUCAUAAAAACACUUAAACAUGGUCUAGAUUUUCUGGAAAACUGGAUUAAUCUUGAUGCCCUAGUAUUCCUAUUCCUGCAAUUGUCAUGGACCAUAACUUGUAUAGGUUUUAGGUGCUUGUCAAUGUCUUAAUUGUUCCCUAGUAUUCCUAUUCCUGUAAUUGUCAUGGACCAUAACUUGUAUAGGUUUUAGGUGCUUGUCAAUGUCUUAAUUGUUAGGUGCUUGUCAAUGUCUUAAUUGCCUUACUUGUUUGCUUUAAAUUUCUGCCGUAAAUUUUUAAGAACGUGGCCUUGUGGAGCAUUUCAAGAUGGAAUGAGAUCCACUUCUACAAUUGUUGUGUGUUGCACAUGCAGUUUUAAUUUUUUAUUGCAUGUAAGUUUCUUGUAUCAUUAUGUAGCCUUUACUUUUCAUCACUCUAUUGAAAGUGGAGGAAAUCUUCUUGUUAUAUCAAUUUGAUACCCUUUUAUGUCUUGAAUUUGUGAACUUUUUACCCCUUACGGUGAAGUCAUUUCCCUCAAGGUUGGUUUAGAGAUCAAAAUCCCCUCCGUCCAAAAUUUUGAAUAAAUGGGCAUUCUCCCCCCUCUCAAGUAGUUGCAGUUGACCUCCCAUUGGUUUUCACCUCCUUAUGUUUUUGAGUUUGGCUGUUAGUUUCCUGUGGUAGCUUGCAAAAUAGACACUUUAAAAACUUAUUUUGGCAUUUAGACACACGUCUUGGAAAAUUAGGUGUUUAGACACUAAAAUGACAUCAUCACUUCUUACAUACAAACCUAGCACACACGAUUUAAAAUUUAUACUUUAGUCCCCCACUUCAUUCAUUUAAUAUUUUCCAUCAUUUUUUAUAUUUCCACCAUUUUUUCAUAUUUUCCUAUUUUAAUUUAAAAAAUUGUCCGAGAAGCCACCAAUAGGAGCUCCCUUUUUCACCAAUAAUUUCCGAUUCCGGCGACUUUCCGACAAAAAGUUGCUCAUCACAACUGAAAAUCUCCAUUCUUGGUCAUUACCUCCAUUGUUGUUCCAUCUUUUUUGAAAAAAAAAAUGCAAAAAAUAUUUUUUUAACCAUUUUUACGAGCUUGAAAAGCUUUUCAAAUCCUCUCAAUACAUAUUUCAGUAGUUUAGAAGUCCUACCCAUACAUUUGUCCAUCUCAGAGCUAGGAGGGCAUCGAUUAUAUCCAAAAUCGAUCCAUUCACGUCUUUGUACAGACGUUUUCAUACCAGUGAUCGACCUGCUAUAGACCGAUACCUUAAUUUAUUAUCGAUUAGUGUGGUCUAUUAUGGCAGUAGCUGAGGAAAUUGUCGUGGGUGGUAAUUAUAUGGGUGUGUGGGAGGAGGGUCCCAACUAUUGGAAGUGGAAAUCAUCUAGCAGGGAGACAGUGCCCAUCCCGCUGCCUCGCAAUGGUUCGUACGACUACAUGGUUUGAAGCGUAAUUGAGAGCGGAGAAUUAGAUUGCGAGCCAAAGAACGUUGUGAUUAGCUAUGUAAUGAAUGAGCGGGGUAAAAUACAUCCCACGUUCAUAAAGAAUGACCGUCAUGUGUCGUUAUAUAUGUUCGAUGUCGUUGUCGAUGGCUCUAGGCCAUUAUUGAGGAUAAAUGUCGUCCCGGGGUCUCCGACAAUCUCGCCACCACAGCCGACAAUCGACGAACAUGAUUUAUUUGAAGAUGAGAGUUUGGAUGCUCAUCCAAUGAAUUUGGAAGAUCAUUCAAUGGAAUUGGAAGAUCCAAUUUUCUCUGAAGAAGCGGGAGAAGAGUGCGGAUUGGGAGCAUAAACCAACCACACCUUCUCUGACGGAACUAAUUUUCAGCUAAGUCAAACAUUUAGCAGCAAAAAGGAGCUGAAAUUGUUGUUGGACGUAGCAGCUAUGAGAAAUUCUUUUGAUUAUGCUAUAUUGAAGAGCUGCCGCAAAUUCCUCAAGGUCAAAUGCGUUUGUCCUAGUUGUGCGUGGAUGUUGCGAGCGAAGAAGUAUCAAUGCAUGGACAGAUUUAUCAUCUAUAAAUACGUUGGUGAUCACAGUUGCGGCGUCGAAUGUGGCACGCACAGCCAUAGAAAAAUCACGUCUAAAGUCAUUGCAUUGCUCUGUGUGAACCUGUAUCGUGAAGGAAAGAUUUCGGACACUAGUGAGAUUCGGAGGAUCGUUUUCAAGAACUUGAGAAGUAGACCAACCUAUUGGAAAUGUUGGUUGGGGGGUGUGAUUGCCAAGGAAAUGGUUUGAGGGACAGCGGAGCACAUGUAUUCUUGCUUGCCGGCUUUUUCGUACAUGAUCGACGCUUUUAAUGUUGGCACUACCUAUUCCAUCAUGGUGAACAAGGUCGAUUGUAGGGUGAUGUACUACUUUUUAGCAUUGGGCCCUUGCAUUUAGGGAUUCGCCCACAUGAGGAAUGUUAUUGUGGUCGACGACACUCAUUUAUACGGCAAGUACGAGGGCGUGUUGCUAAGCGCGGUUGCACAGGAUACCGAGAACCAUAUUUAUCCCAUUGCCUUUUGCGUCGUUGACAAGGAGAACGAUGCGCCUUGGACGUUCUUCUUUGAGAAGCUAAAGUCUAUUGAGGUUGAUGGACCAGAUUUGUGUUUUAUCUCUGAUAGGCACAAGAGCAUUGCCAACGGCAUCGCGAGGGAUUACAACCAUGCUCAUCACGGGUACUGCAUGAGGCAUCUAGGUGAAAAUCUCUGGGUAAAUCACCACUGCGGAGAACACCUCUAUCUAUUCUACAACGCGACAAAGGCGUAUUCUCUCGAGGAGUUUAGCGACCAUUUGAGGAUUCAAGAACUACUAUCCCGCGGAAGCCUUUUUCCUUGAGCAUGAGCUUGGUUUCUAGAAAUGGAGCAGGGCAUUUCCCCGGCAACAGGUUUGACGUGAUGACCUCAAAUAUUGCCGAGUCGAUUAAUUCUAUGUUGAUUGCCGAAAGGGAGUACCUCGUGGCAUCCAUAUUCAAUUCGAUUGCUAAGAGGUUUGGUAAUAUAUUCAAGGAGAGGCGUGCCUACGUCCUCACAUAUAAGGAUAAUAAAUUUGUGUCCGCCGCCGAAAAGAUCUUAAGGGACAAUAUAAGCGAGGGGGACUCCUAUGUGGAGAACGUAAGCGGGGAUGAAAGGCAAUUCACAGUGUUCGUCAGUGGCUGUACAACCAAAGUCGACCUACUGGAAAGGUCAUGUUCUUGCAGGAAGUUUGAGCUGGUCAAAAUACCAUGCACUCACGCGAUGGCCGGUUUGCGAUUGAAGCACGGUGAUGAUUAUGGAUUGAGAGUCUAUGAUUAAUCUUCGCCCGUGUAUAAAGUGGAAGAGUACCUCCUUGCGUAUUCAGAAUCAAUUAAUGUUGUCCCUUUGGAGUCUGAAUGGCGCGUUCCACAAGAAUUGCUAGACGUGAACAUUAUUCCACCUCCGUGGUCACCAAGCUCGAAAGGAAGAAAAGAAAACGCGUUAAGGGCGUGGGCGAGACUUUUAAGAAGAGGAGGAACAAGUGUUCACUAUGCAAGAGACCCACUUGUAACAACAACAAAUCGUAGUUAAGACUUGUAUGAAUUUGUGUCUUUUUAAGUCAUGGCAGUGUAUGCAUUUUGACAACCCUUUAGUGGUCUGAUUAAUGCUAGUCUUAUCGAUUUUACUCUGUGUCUAUUAUCGACCUUUUAAGGUAUUGCAUAUAUAUUGCGUGUCAGGUCUAUUGCUAGUAUUCUUUAUAUAACACAUAGUUUAUUAUCGAUCCCAUAUAAAGUCUAUUAAAAACCUUAAAGUAUUCACAGGGACUGAUGAACAAUUGAGCAUUUAUUACACAUCAAAAAAGCUGUUGCACGUCCACUCACACCUUGCGUCGAUUGGGUAUACGCUACCUCUUCGAAAUCCAUGCGUCUACCUACCAUUGGGCGGGAAGACCAAAGGGUUCUAUUUUGGUCUAUAUAAACACCCAUCUAAUAUACCCAAAAUUCAUCUUUAUCAACAUAAAAAAUAGAUUAAAUCAACAAGAUGCCAGGCAUUCCAUUGAGACCAAGAAGGAGGAUCCAGCGUAGCUACGACCUUCUCCUCCCCCGUAACGACCUAGACCGUCUCUUCUAUGGUCUAGGACAGGACAGGGAGCACUUCCACCGCGAACUCCAGCGUAUCGCUCGUGAGCGGCUCAACAUAGAGCCCGAGGAGAUGCACCCCCCCCCCCCCCCCCCCAAAUCUCUUUAGUUUAGGUUUUAAUUUCUGUUAUUUUUUUUUGUUUUAAGUUCAUUGCAAUAGGAAGCUUUCAUGGUUGGGAAUAUGUUAGAUGAAAAUUUCUUUAUUUUGUUGUACAUAUGGUUCUACACCAUUGCAAUGAAGUAUCUUGUGUUUCCUAUAUUUGUCUCCUCUUUAAUUUUUGCAAUUUUGUUCUUGUUUGAAUGUUUGCAAUUUCCCCUGUUAGAAGAUGAAACAAACUGUUGUGAGAUGUGAAAAUUAAUUCAUAUAUGAUAAUGAAAAAUGAAUCUGGUCAAUUCGGGGUUAUUUUGCUGUAAAUAUGGUGCUAAACCAUUGCAAUGAACUUAUGAAUGGAAUAUUUUCAUGUUUCCUGCAUUUGUCUCCACUUUAAUUUUACAAUUUUCUUCUUUUUUGAAUUUUUGCAAUUUACCCUAUUAGAAGAUGAACGAAACAGUUGUCAGAUGUCAAAAUUAAUUCAUAUAUGCUAGUGGAAAAUGAAUAUGGUCUAUCCACAAUUAUGUUGAUUUAUACAAAAUUAAAUACAAAGUCGAUGUAGUUUAUUAUUUACGGAGCUCAAUAUCUAUGCGUGAACAUCUACGUAAUCGAUUCAUUCCACUAUGAGGUCUAUCGAUUGUAUCCAGUGUAUAUCAUAGAUGGUAAGCCUUGUCAAUAAUAUACCGUAUUGGUUUAUUGCCCUUAGUAGCAUAUUUGGAAAAAAAGGAAAUAAUUUCUCGCAGCUGCUACGUCCAACAACAAUUUCAACUUUUUUUUGCUGCUAAAUGUUUGAUUUAGCUGAAAAUUAGUUUCGUUGGAGAAGGUGUGGUUGGUUUGUGCUCCCAAUCCGCACUCUUCUCCCGCUUCUUCAGAGAGAAUUGGAUCUUCCAAUUCCAUUGAAUGCUCUUCGGAAUUCAUUGGAUGAACAUCCAAACUCUCAUCUUCAAAUUAAUCAUGUUCAUCGAUUGUCGGCUAUGGUGGCGAGAUUGUCGGAGACCCCGGGACGACAUUUAUCCUCAAUAAUGGCCUAGAGCCAUCGUCAACGACAUCCAAUACAUAUAACGACACAUGGCGAUCUUUCUUAGUGAACAUGGGAUGUAUUUUACCCCGCUCAUUCAUUACAUAGCUAGUCACAACGUUCUUUGGCUCGCAAUCUAAUUCAUCGCUCUCAAUUACGCUUUGAACCAUGUCGUCGUACGAACCAUUGCGAGGCAGCGGGAUGGGCAUUGUCUCCUUGCUAGAUGAUUUUCCACUUCCAAUAGUUGGGACCCUCCUUCCACACACCCAUAUAAUUACCACCCACGGCAAUUUCCUCAGCUACUGCCAUAAUAAACCACACUAAUCGAUAAUAGAUUAAGGUAUCGGUCUAUAGCAAGUCGAUCACUGGUAUGAAAAUGUCCGUACAAAAAUGUGAAUGGACCGAGUUUUGGAUAUAAUCAAUGUCCUCCUAGCUCUGGGAUGGACAAAUGUAUGUGUAGGAUUUCUAAACUACUGAAAUAUAUCUAAUGACGAGGUAUUGAGCGGAUUUGAAAAAUUUUUCAAGCUUGUAAAAAUGGUGAAAAGAAUAUUUUUUACAUUUCUUUUCAAAAAGGUUGGAACAACAAUGGAGGCAAUGAUCAAAAAUGGAGAUUUUCAGUUGUGAUGAGCAAUUUUUCGGUGGAAAAGUCGCCGGAAUCGGAAAUUAUUGGUGAAAAAGGGAGUUCCUAUUGGUGUCUUCUUGGAUAAUUUUUUUAAUUAAAAUAGGGAAAAAUGGUGGAAAUAUAAAAAAUGAUGGAAAAUAUUAAAUGAAUGAGGUGGGGGACUAAAGUGUAAAGUUUAAAACUUGUGUUUUGGGUUUGUAUGUAAGAAGUAAUGAUGUCAUUUUAGUGUCUAAACACCUAAUUUUCCAAGACUUGUGUCUAAAUAGCAAAAUAAGUUUUGAAAGUGUCUAUUUUGCAAACUACCCCACUUUGUGUAGUGAGAGUUAGCCUGUUUUCUAGACAUCAUAUACCAGUAUUAUUUAGAAAAUAUGUAUUUCAUUUGAAGUUUUAAUAGAAAUUAGCUGACUCAGCUAAAACAAAUUCUCUCAGGUAUGCCGAUAUUGCCAGCAGCAGCCUGGAAACUCAACAUGUUCUGUCUGUCAAUCACCAGAAAAUCUGUGGAUGUGUGUUAUUUGUGGUUUUGUUGGAUGUGGAAGGUAAUAAUACUCUCUCUCUCUUGUAAUUUGACCAAUUCUAUUUGAAGUUUGAUCUUCUUAUACAAAAAUAAUUAUGAGGGUUAAAAUCAUUUGCACCCUUAACAUUCCUUUAAGAAUUAAAUUCCUCCAAGUUUGAAUAGUAGACGUUUGUCCCCUUAUAUCAUAAUUGAGUAUUUUAAGUGUAUCAUAAUUGAGUAUUUUAAGUGUACCCUCUAUGUUAUCAACAUUCUCUUUUCUUUUGCAUUUUAAAUAUCAUGAUGUUUUUCUCUUUUCUAAAAUCUGUGUUAUGGACUUACAUACUCCCUCCGUUCACUUUUACUUGUCACUAAUUUCCUAAUUGAAUUUUUAUUUUUACUUGUCAUUUUUAUUUUUAUUUUUUUACAUAUCAACAAAAAUAUCAUGCAUUUUUUUUUCUAUAUAUACUGUCCUUUGUUCCCAGACCCCACUAAGUGGGAAUACACUGGGUUUGUUGUUGUUGUUGUACUGUCCUUUGUCUUGAGCCGGGGAUCUAUUGGAAACAACCUCUCUACUUCUUUAGAGGUAGUGGUAUGGACUGCGUACACUCUACCCUCCCCACACCCCACGAUGUGGGAAUAUACUGGGUUUGUUGUUGUUGUUGUUGUUGUUGUACUUGUCAUUUUUUACAUAUCAAGAAAAGACAACUUUUUUUCCUAUUUUUCCUGUAGCAUUAAUUUUUUUUUCUCCAAAUUAAUUUCAAGACAUAAUUUAAACAUCAUUUAAUAGGGGUACUAUGGUAAAAUAACCAUGUUAUUAAUUGUUUUUCUUAAUAGGUGUGUCAUCUCAAUCUGUGACGAGUAAAACUGUACGGAGGGAGUAUAUACUAAACAUCUCUCUUUUUUUUUUCUCAAGGGGAACAUAUCUCAUUUGCAAAGUGAAGAAAACAAAGUAGUAAUCAAGCAACAACAACAAACCCAGUGUAUUCCCACACAGUGGGGUCUGGGGAGGGGAAAAUGUACGCAGUUCAUACCACUACCUCCGGAGAGGUAGCAAGGCUGUUUCUGAUAGACCCCCGGCUCAAGACAGAGAAUAAUAAACAAGUUCAUAAUAAAAGCAUGAAACAAGAUGGCACAACAGAUAUAAGACACCCACACAUUAAUACCCUGCACUAACGUACCAAAGGCACCCCCACAUGCACUAGCCUUCUAUCCUAAUUCGCGUCUUCCACACCUUCCUAUCUAAGGUCAUGUCCUCGGUAAGCUGUAAUUGCUCCAUGUCACGUCUAAUCACCUUUCUCCAAUACUUCUUUGGCCUACCCCUAUCCCGCCUGAAGCCAUCCAAAGCUAGCCUCUCACACCUACGAACUGGGGCAUCCGUGUCCCUCCUCAUCACAUGUCCAAGCCAUCUCAGUGGAACUUCCCGCAUCUUGUCCUCCACCGAAGCCACUCCAACCUUCUCACGGACAGUCUCAUUCCUAACCCUAUCACCCCUAGUAAGCCCACACAUCCAACGCAACAUCUGCAUUUCCGCCACCUUCAAUUUUUGAACAUAAGAGUUCUUGACUGGCCAACACUCCGCUCUGUACAACAUGGUUGGCCGAACUGUCACUCUGUAGAACUUGCCUUUCAGUUUGGGUGGCACCUUCUCUUCAUAUAACACUCCCGAGGCGAGCCUCCACUUCGUCCAACCUGCCCCAAUACGAUGGGAGAUAUCCUUAUCAAUCUCACCAUUUUCCUAAAUCAUCGACCCGAGAUACUUAAAACUAUCCCUCCUACAAACAACCUGGGACCCCAACCUCACUACCCCGUCGUCCUCCUGUCUCAAGUCAUCAAACUUGCAUUCCAUAUACUCAGUCUUGCUCCUACUCAACCUGAACCCUUUAGACUCAAGGGUUUGUCUCCAAACCUCCAAUUUAUCAUUCACACCUCCCCGCGUCUUAUCAAUCAAAACAACAUCAUUUGCAAAAAGCAUACACCAAGGCACCUCACCUUAAAUACGCCGCGUCAACACAUCCAUCACCACCGCAAACAAAAAUGGGCUAAGAGUCGAUCCUUGAUGCAACCCUGUUAAAACCGAAAAAUGCUCUGAAUCUCUUCCCGCUGUCCUCACUUGAGUCUUUGCUCCCUUAUACAUGUCCUUAAUCGAUCUGAUGUACGCCUUCGGGACACCACUCACCUCCCAAGCAUCUCCAAAGCACCUCCCUAGGGACUUUGUCGUAUGCCUUCUCCAAGUCGAUAAACACCAUGUGCAGGUCCUUCCUUUCCCUAUACUGCUCCACCAGUUUCCGCACCAGAUGAAUUGCCUCUGUCGUCGAGCGCCCGGGCAUAAAUCCAAACUGAUUCUCCGAAAUACACACUAUCCUCCUCAACUUCCGCUCGACCACUCUCUCCCAAAUCUUCAUCGUGUGACUCAACAACUUAAUGCCCUUAUAGUUGGUGCAACUCUAGAUGUCAUCCUUGUUCUUAUAUAGAGGAAUCAUGAUACUCCAUCUCCAAGCCUCGGGCAUUUUCGCAGUCUUAAAGAUGCCGUUAAACAACUUCGUCAACCACCUUACACUUCCAAAAAUCCACAGGAAUCUCGUCCGGCCCCGUCGCCUUACCCCUCCUCAUCUUGUGAAUAGCCUCGCUGACCUCCUCAUCUUAAAACGCCUUCAAUAGCUGAAAUCACGACACCCCUCUGUGUGCUCUAGCUCCCCUAACACAAUGUCCCUGUCCCCCUCCUCAUAAAGAGAAUGAAAAUACGACUGCCAUCUUCUCUUAAUAUGCACGUCUUCCACUAGCACACUACCAUCCUCCCCCUUAAUACACUUCACUUGAUCAAAGUCCCGCCCCUUCCUCUCCCUAGCCUUAGCAAGCCUAAACAACUUUUUUUCUCGACCUCUCUCUUCUAACCCCUCAUACAAGCUCUUAAAUGCUGUCGUCUUCGCAGCCGUAACUGCUAACUUGGCCUCUCUCCUAGCUAACUUGUACUCCUCCCUAUUUACGCGCUUAUCUUAUUCAUCCUUACUCUCUACCAACUUAGCAUACAUCCCCUUCUUAGUCUCCACUUUCUUCUUAACUUCUUCAUUCCACCACCAAUCCCCCCGAUGCUGACCACCCCGGCCUCUCGAGACACCCAACACCUCUCUAGCCAUCUCCUUGAUACACCUAGCCGCCCUAUCCUACAUACCAUCCAUGUCUCCCCUACACUUCUACACCCCAUCUCGGCCACCUUAUCCCCUAUCUCCAGCGCACUCACCGGCGUCAAGCCACCCCACUUAAUCCUAGGUCGGCCCUCCCCACCCCUUCUCUUCCUAUCCUUUUUUAAACCCAGGUCUAUCACCAGAAGCCUGUGUUGGGUCGAAAGGUUCUCCCCAAGCAACAGAAAGUCAAUCUGGGUCUUGGCUAUUGCGCUUCGGAAGGUGAUCAGGUGAUCCUCCUUCUUCGGAAAGCUCGAAUUCACUACCACCAUCCCAAAGACCCUCGCAAAAUCCAACAGAGCCACUGCCUCAUCAUUUCUCUCCCCAAAACCAUACCCACCAUGCACAUUGCCAUAGCCUCCCGGUAACACCCAUAUGUGACCAUUAAAAUCCCCUACUACCACAAUCUUCUCAGAGCUAGGCACGCCUCUCACCACCUCGUCCAAAGCCUCCCAAAACCGCUUCUUCUCCUCUCUGUCCAAGCCCACUUGUGACGCAUAAACACUACACACGUUCAGCGUACACCCCCCUCCCCCAAUGACCGACUUAAUAGACAUCAACCUAUUAUUGAUCCUCUUCACCUCCACUACCUACUCUCUACGUUCUUCAUCUACUAAGGUGCCUACUCCAUUCCUACGCUUGUCGCUUCCCGAGUACCAAAGCUUGUAUCCAUCCACAUCCCUAGCCUUAGACCCUACCCACUUAGUCUCCUGGACACACGCAAUAUUAAUCCUCCUCUUUCUAAGAAUCUUCACAAGCUCUAUGGACUUACCCUGAAGGGUCCCUAUAUUCCACGACCCAAUCCUCAGCCUACCGUCGCUACCCGCACUCCCUCCACUACCCUCCCUCGCGGCCAAACCUUGGCCUCCCUCCCACUCCCGCCCUUUCCUCAUCCUCCGCCCCCACCACGGCCCCCAACCCCAACCCCUUCGGACAUGACCCUACCCUAUCAUCAACGCCCAAAGCCACUACUCAAAAAGAAAUACAAAGAACGAUAGAAACACGAACAAAAACAGAACACAAACAAGAACUACUAGCAGUAAAUAUAUAGCACACUGUCAGGUCCAAAUACAACAAAUCAAAAUAAAAUAAGAAUGCAAGACAAGUCACCAAUCCAAUUUAGCAGGCAAUCCUAACAAAUUAAAGCAAGUCAAGAUACGAAAAAUAAUACGCGAAAGUAAAUAGCAAAGGUCGGUCGCUUGUAACCGGAUCUGCGUGUCGACUUUGUCGCCGGAGUCGAAGUCUAGCCGACGGGGACCUUAACCCGCCGGCGAAAGCGGUGACGGGGAGAUUAGGCCAAAGAAGUAAUCAAGCAUAUAAAUUAAUUGGAGGCUAGUUAUGGAUGGUUUUAGGCGGGGUAGAGGUAGGCCAAAGAAGUAUUGGAGGGAGGUGAUUAGGCGUGACAUGGAGCAAUUACAGCUUACGGAGGACAUGAUCCUUGAUACGAAGGUGUGGAGGAACGUUUUGUUUGUAGCUGUGCUGUAGUUUCUUGUAGUCUCUUGUUCGUGGUGUUUUGGUGAUAUCUAUGUUUUUCAAAUAUGUAUUUUAUAGUAUUACCUUGUGGGUGUCUUGUUUCCUUUAUUAUCUAGCGGUGUGAUAUCUCAUACCCCACUUGGUGGGAAUACACUGGGUAUGUUGUUGUUGUUGUAGUGAUGAGAAAACUGAGCAGAAUAAAAAAAAAUAGAAUUAAAUAAUUUAUUUGUAUCAGUAAUUUCUGCAUUCCUUCUUUCCUCUGUUUUAUAUUCCUUAUGGGUGCGGUAUCUAUGUUAUGUCAUCUGCUCCUGUGCUGUACUAUGUGUUUGUGUGAUAUCUCGUGACUUGAGCCGGGGGUCUUUCGGAAACAGCCUUUCUACUUCAUCAGAGAUAGAGGUAUGGACUGCGUACAUCUUACCCCCCCAGACCCCACUAAGUGGGAAUACACUGGGUUUGUUGUUGUUGUAUCAGUAAUUUUAUUAAAUAGAAAUUGAAACUAGAAAUUUGUUUACACGAUUGAGAAUAAGAGAGGAUGAGAAAUUCAUAAGCAUAUACCCAUGCAGGUAAUACAAAAAUAUAAUUAUUAAAAAUGGAGGUACAUUUUAUAACAAAUUCCUAAAUAGUACUAUCUAUUUAUACUUUAAAUGAGUUUUUAAGUUGUAACUUAGAAAAUAUUUUGUCAACAACAAUCCAAACUCAAAAUUUCUAUAAACAUAAUAGAGAAUUUAAGAGAGGAAAUGGUUGGUUGAGCUAUAUAAAUAAUUUUGAAGACCUAAAAGACGAAUGAUCUUUUUGACUGCUAGAGAAGUAAUAGGUUUAGUUAGGGAUGUUCAUCAUGCUGAUUUUUCUAUAGAUACAAAGAAGCUCAUGCUACAAGGCAUUGGAAGGAGACACAACAUUGCUAUGCACUUGAAUUGGAAACUCGGCGUGUCUGGGACUAUGCAGGGGACAACUAUGUUCACCGUUUGAUUCAGUCUAAAACUGAUGGGAAGCUGGUUGAGCUCAACCACCAUUGUCAUCAUGAUAAUGAUGGCUGCUGCGGCUGCAAAUGCGGUGCAGAUCCUGAAUUCAGUGAAACUAUUUUAAACAGCAAAGUUGAAGCUGUACGCCUCUCUCGUCAUUUGUAUUUUUUUCUUGUUUACUCUUUUUUCAUCUAUUCAAAUGUUUAAGUUUUGGAUUGCUUUGGUCAUUCUGCUAUUUCAUUUGGAACCCUUGGUAAUCUUCAAAUUUUCUAACUGCAGAUUGUAAACGAGUACAAUGAGCUCCUAACUUCCCAACUGGAGGACCAAAAAAUGGUUAACCUUUUUACUAUAGUAUAAGUUUUCUUUAUUUUGCUGAUCUGAAUGUCACGGAAGCUUUCACGUCUGGUUACUCAUUUGAAUGUAGAAAUAUUGUUUAGUUGUUUAGAACGAUUCAUUCUAUUUACCGUACUAACGGUUUCUACUUUUGAUCAUAGUACUUUGAGUCCUUAUUGCAAGAGGUUGAGGAAGAAAUUGCAAGGGAAACUAAGGAAGCUGUUGAGAAAGCUCUAUGCCAGAAUCAAAGGUUAACGAAGUUAAAAGUUCGCUUGGACAAAUGCAUUGAAGAGAAGAAAUUUCAUGAUGAUGUGAGUUUUGUUGAAGGGAAUUAAUCAUUAUUCAUCUCUAAGCUGUUACCAGUUUAUCAUCAUUUAGUCCACAUUUCUUUUUUUUCUUACACCAUUUGAUUUUUGUUGAUUUUGUUUUGAACCUGAAUCUUUUGGUGUUGAAUUCUCUAGAUCAGUGACAAUCUUACGAAAAACAAGGAGAUAUGGGAAGCCAAGAUACUGGAAAUUGAAGAAAGGUAUUACCUUUCCUUUGUUGUCAAGAUUGGUUUGGUUUUCUAGCAAAGUUGAUGUACUCUAUGCGUUGUAGUUUCUUACGAGGAAAAGCUGGACUCUUCAUAGGGCAGAGCUUCUUCUUCUUCGUCGUCUUCUUCUUCUUUUUUUUUAGUUAUUAUUGCCGUAAACAGAGUCUCUUGCAAAAAUGCAUGGUAAAGGUUGCGUACAAUAGACCCUUGUGGUCCGGUCCUUUCUUGGGCCCUGCACAUAGAGGGAGCUUUAGUGCACCGGGCUGCCCUUAUUUUGUUGUUCAUGUAAUGGAUGAUCAAGUACUUCUGACCAACUUCACGUGCAUUCAUCCACAACUGCUAAAUUACUUCCCUAUCUUGUCAUGUAAUAUCCUAUUUUAUCUUUUAACAUCCAUCUUCUAGGGAGAAGAGGGCGCUAAAAAUGAAGGAUGAGAAGAUAUCCGAAUUGGAGGAAGAGGUAAAUUUGACAUUGCCUAUCAAUUGGAUUCAGUCAACUGGAGUUGCUUACUUUAGUUUCCUGAGUAAAUGUGAUUGCUAUUAUGUUUGGGCUGCAGAUUGCGACUUUGAUGGCAUCCAUCGAAACAUAAGAUGCAUUUAAAAGGGAUGCCAUAGUCAAAUGAUGAAAUGAAGGAUAAGAUCAGCUUCAAUAUCAGACAAUUCCAUUGGAUUGACAAGCCUACCUGUAUUUGAUGCCUCUGGAAAGAGCAGUGACAACGAGGCCUCGAAGUCAAGUGUCAGGAAAAGCAAUCGGGGUUCCUUGAAUAGAGUAUGAGUAAUAGGCGCUGUCCAGAAAACUCUUGUGCAACCACCUCAAUUAAAAGUGGUUACAGAUUUUUGACGGUGAUUUUAUUAACCUUCUUUUAGUCUUGAGUGUCAAUUUUCGGCCUGUUUGUUUCAAUGAGUAGCUGAUUUGAUACUUUAAACCUGUCCUCGUGCAUUGCUCGACACUCAGGAUUAAUUCUCUGCAGUUUCAACCUUUUUGGGGGAUGAGACUUGGGAAUCAGAUAGUUGUUAUUUAACUUGAAUUGGGAAGGGUGGUUGGGUAUCUUAACAGUGAUAAAUAUCUGCAAUGCGCAUGUGUUAACAGUAGAUGAAUCAGAAUGCUGCAAUGCGCAUAAUGACAAUGAGGUGGCAUGGCACAUCCCAGAAUAGUGCAAAGAAACUCCUGCGCGACUGGAGAAGGUGAAAAUUUACUUUGGGGGAAAAUAGUUGCAAAGAUUGAAGUUCAUACGCCUAUUAGUUUAAGGAUAUGUAAUGGUAAUAAAUAAUGAUUCUUGACAACUUUUUCCUCAAGAAAAAUAUCCUCCUCAGAUGUAAAAGCAGCAUCCCCCGAAAACUUGGCAAAUCAGUACUAACUUCUUGACACUUCUGGUGAUAGAACGCGUGAUGUAGACAACAACAAUUGGCCUUCUAUUCGGCCAUGGUUUCUCAGGUAAAAGAACAAUAAAUGAUGGAAAGAGCCACUCGCUGCACUUUUCUACUAGAAGAAUGUACAGAGAAAAGUUAUCUCCAUUCUUUAUGUGGGAGAUAACAUAACCAAUGGUAACACAAACUAGUAAAAAAAGCUUAAGAAUCGAUGAAGCUAAAAACUAAAAGCUCUAAAACAGAGCUCCAAACUAUCAGCAAGACUACCUAAAGAUUGGCUACCUUCCGAGUAAAUUUUGGAAAGAUAUAAAUAAAUCCCGAGGAUGCUGCUUGACUUGAAAAAAGCACCCUAUUGAUGUUGCAGUUGCUCAACUAAAAUUCUAUUGAUGAAGGGUGACAUAGCCGCUAACAAUGCCUUGGGACACUCCUCAUGAGGAAGAUGACCACAUCCUGAUAUUGCAACCAGUCUCUGUAUGUUAAAUAGACACAAAAGUUAAUAGCCUGAGACUAGUAGUAACUUUAUGCUUUUAUCAGAAGCAGGCUCAUAAAAUGUUGUCUCAAUUUUCAUACUCAGAUGGUAUAACUAGUAUUUUAUUCACUACACAUAUUGAAAGGGUAUUUCAACAGAAUAAAAGUGUCAUUCAGGACAUCAUUGCAACAAUUAGAAGCCAGUAAAGAAAAUCAAAACUGAUCAAUUUCUGCUAUCAGCUCAAUUAGCCAACAUCUUUGGCGAUUAUCACCACUUUGAUAACAUUUUUUCGGACUCGAUGGAUUUCCAGUUUAAUUUUCUGCUUUAUAAAUCAAUGUUCGGGGGUUGUAGUGGCUCAAUGGCAGAUGUAGUCCCAAUUUUCAUUAGUUUCUAUUGAAUCAAUUCCAUUCAACUUAGUCACAAACACAAUAACAUUUAAAAGUUUCAUGCUAAGAGGUGUGUUACAGAUGAGUAAAAUCAUAUAUGAAGCGAGAAAACUCAUACUAGGUGGUGUUUGAUUUAAGGUAAAAAUAGUAAAAUAACUGAUUAAGAUUUAAGGGUGCAAUCAGUUUCACUGAUCUAGAUCAAGUAAGCCAGCUUGUAUUAGAGUUAAAUAAUGACAUACAGUAGAGUGCAGAGAUGGAUAUAGAGAGAUUAAGAUAACUCACAGAAUUUACAUGGACAUAGAGAGAUUAAGAUAACUUACAGAAUUUACAAGUUUUGAAGCCAUAGCUUGAACAGACUUUAAAGGUACAACUGCAUCUUCAGCUCCCCCAAUCACCAAAACGGGUAAACAUUCAACUGCUUUUAGCAGUGCUGUUGCCUUUUCUGGGGAGAGGACUGUCUCGUAUGAUUGUUUCCCUAUCUCAUGGAGUGCUUCAUCCCAACCUUCCACACAUAAUGGUGCCUGAUUACAUACACAAGCAGAUAGGAUUAGGAUUGGAAUAUGUUACUUAUAAAAAGUGUAAAGAUGCCGAAAGAAGGGACGUGUAAACUAUUGGCAUCUUGUAUGCCCAGAAGUGGCAAGUACUUCCUUCUUGACGAUGAAAUUUAUUACACACAUACAUAAGGCAAUCCUGAAUUGUUAAGAGGCUGAUCUUCUAAAACUUUUCCACAAUGGUUUCAGCUCAUCCAUACCAAAAGUUGAGCCCUCAAUAUAUGCUAGUUUUUCUGAUCAUUUAUUGUUGAGUGGGGGUUAGGAGGAAAAAAGGAAAGGCGGUGAAGGGCAGAUAAUCACACAAAGUAGAAGCUCCUUGAGCAUGAAUAAGUAUAAUGAACUGAAUCAUCUAAUAAGUGUGCAGAGCCAAAAAAACAUCCAAGAAAAGAUAGAUGAAACUGUUAUCUGCCCUAUACCUCUUUUUGUCUUUCUUCCUAACUUCCACUGGAAACAAAAAUAUUUAGAAGUAGCACACCCGAAGAGUCCUAAUUGAGGAGGCUAUGAUAUCAUACACAGAAUACACAAAAUGUAGAUAUGAAAUUUAUAGGGAACACAUUUAGAUGUAUCUUGUCUAUCAGAUCAGACAAAAGACUAGCACACUCAACAUUUCAAGAAUAAGAACACAUACCUUGUAUAAGCUCAAAACCUCAGUUGUCAACUUCGUUGUGUCAUACCAUGCUCGUCUGUUAACAACUUGAGUAAUUUCUGUUCGCAAAAGAGGACGCACCAAGUGCUUUUUUCCAAGUGAUGUGCGCAAUAAUACUCUUGCAAAGGCAGGCACCAGUUCUCUUGACAGGCUAACACCCAAUAAUACAACCCCCUUGAUCUUAACCUAAUAUAGAAGGCAAAAGUAGUAAAAUAGUCAAAGCAAUGAGCAAUUUUCCAACCAUAGUAUAUCAGCUCUUGACAUUCAAAACUAAGGGUACACAAGAUUUCACGUCACUCUUCUUCAACAAGGAUGAGAAAUGUAUAAGAAUAAGCAAAAAAAGCGGGCUACUGACAUAUUUUCUCAAGAUUGAAUCAUAAUUUUCACCAGGAUACCAAUUCAUUCGGUGUUAAUAGCACUCAUGGCAACUAAAACAUGUUAAAUCCCACACCCCGAGCACUCACAUUAGUAAAAUUUGUGGAUGACUGGACUCUUUGUGCAGCCAUUAGUGCAAGCAAUCCACCAUCAUCAUGGCCAACAAGUACAACUGAAGUAAAACCCAUCUCUGAACAGAAGGACAGAAGCAGGUCAACCUGACAAGUGAAAAUUCAACUGUCAGAAAAGAAAAGCCUAGUCAUUUAAAAGGAAAACAAUAGCCUCUAUGAUCAUUACAAGUAUAUGUCCAAAUGAAAGACAACUAUAUACAAUUCCCUACGUGUAUUGUAUACAUGCAUAUGCAUUAAACACAUAUAUACAUAAACUCCUGGAAUUAGAACCUUGAACUCGCUGUUUAACAUAUGUGCUAAAAUUUAUAGACUCAUUCUUUUGGUUUCAUGCCGAAAAUGGUCCACUGAAACAUAAAAUUGAAGAGUGAGACAUUACCUGAGCAUCAAUAGUGUAGGGAUUGGGCAAAUGAUCCUCCUCCCAGUCUGUUCGGAAAGGCCUAGAUGUCAAUCCCCAUCCUGGCCUGUCAAAUGCAGUGACUACACAACCUACCUGUUGAGCUAGUACUCCCAUCACAUUUCUCCAAGAGAAGACUCCACCACCAAAACCAUGCACCAGAACAAUUCCAAACUGAUCAUUACCUUCCAGAUCUUGUAUAGGAUGAGGAGACCCGGACCUAUCCACUGCAUCUGCCUCACCAACUUCAUCUAGGUUGAGACUAGGCAUUUCUACAGACAAGAGGGGGGAAGUCUGAAACCCAUCUAAUAAAGGUGUGGAUAGACAGUUUGCAGGAUAUUGACUACUGUAGCUCCUCCGAAUACAAUAGUCCACGUUUGAUAAAAGAGUCGGUGGCCUGUCUACACGGGCGGUGGAGGAUAACGAACGACAAGGUGAUCCAGGCAAAGUAAGUUUGUAAUGAAGAGUAAGCCCUAAGCAAGUAAUAAAUAAACUGUCAACAUCAGCAAGCAGUUUGGCAGGGAUUUCUCCGUCCUCUCGAGCUGAUCCUGCAAGUUUCCUCUUCAUUUCACUAUCACAUUUUGAUGCUUUCCCAGCAGAAGGAGUUGGAGACCGUGGUACUUUAUUGUAUGCAGAGAAAACAACUUUACAGGGAAGAACCUGUCAUUUCCAAUAAAUCAAUUGUUACAAACUUUAAGGUUCCAUUAAAUUGCUUCUUCGGUCAAUGAGUAAAUCAAAAACCGACAGCAGUGAUUAUCUUCACAUGGUUAACAUUAUCCUGACCAAAUCACAAGUACUGAAUUAGAUAGAUAACAUUUAAUCAGAACUCAAUCAGUUGGAGAAGUAGUUAGAUUCUUUCAAAGAAUAUCCAAACCAGAACAGUAUAGUAGAUGUCAUUGACGAUUAAAUGUGUCCAAGAAGUUAAGGUAACUACAAGGGGAAAAACAUAACGACUUACAGCUUCGGGGUCAAUUCGGUGAAACAAGAGUUUCCUCCUAGCUCGACAACUUGUUCUAUAGGCAACAACAAUAUGUCCAACAGCAAAGACUAUAGAUGAUAUAAACAACACUGGCAUCCCCCAUGACUUGUUCAAAUGAAGCUUUUGCUUUGGGAUAUACGAUGAAGCUUCAGCCUCCAAGUAUGAAUUGCCAGAGAAAACACUAGCCUUUACGGAAAGAAGAAUAAUGGACAUAACAGAACAGAAUGUAGCAGUUCCGAGAUAUGGUCCAUGUGAAAGAGCAGGUCCAUCACACAUAGAAUAAACACCUAUGAUCAAAUACUAAUAUGGAUUAGUUCCAGAGACAACAUAGACAAGAAACACAACCAAUAUAAAGUAUUCCUAAGAACCAAUUCCAAUUGAAUCAUAACACCAACACAUUAGUAACUAUAAUACCUAAACACAAAAUCGAUUAAAGAAAAAAGAUUAAAUCUCCAGAGAAGAAGAAGGGCAAGUUUAGGCGAAAAUGACUUAACGUCGGAGCUGGUAUGCUCACUCAACUAACUGUAUUAUCUCAAAAUUCAACUUUCUUCUUGGUUCCAAGUUUUCUCAACAAAGAAAGCGACUUUCUGAUACAAAAAAUUAUUACUUGACUGACUAUGUGAGAAAUUAACUCUUUCAAGUUUCUUUUUUUUUUUUGUUGAUAAAAGUGUUGUGUCUGGAACAGCUUUCCCGCACCUCGACUAAUCCAACGGCAUACAUGCCACCUCUUACUAGCAAGAAAUACCAAGUAACUCUAUCCACCAAGGCUAGGAAGGCUAGGAUAGAUGGAAAGAAAUCACCGAUUGUUUUUGUUGCAAUUAAGAAACAUAUUUCAAUAUGUUGCAAUUGGAGUUCCAACUCGAUUUCCCAACGCAAAGUACAUAUCAAACUCCGACAUUUAUACCUAAAAUUCCAUCUCAAAGUGGAAAAACUACAAAUGAAGUACUAAAACAAGAAGAAGCAAACAUGAACUUUAUAGGAUGCUCGAAAUCAAGUAACAUGACCACUAACUCGAAAAAGAAACUGAAACUGGAGUAGUAAACAAGAACGUACAGGAGAUGAUAAGAGAUCUCAGGAUUGCAACAAGAGGAAUAUCCAUCAAGGAAGUUGUGAAUGCAUAGCUUUGCAAAUGCUCUUUCAAACUGUAACACCUUACGCACGUAAAGCUAGAAAUCAACACAGUCGGUAGCAACACAUCCCCUAUUGCCACCAUCACCGGCGCCGAUAACAUCAGUAGCGACAACAACAUCACUACCAUGAAAUAUAUAGUCCUUAAACAUCUCCUUACUUUCUCCACCACUCCCUUCCCCAUAACAAACUACAAAAAAAAAAACAGUUUUCCUCUUGCCUCGACAACUACAAUUCGGUUACAUUUGGUGAAUAAUAUGAGAUCGUAGACGCAAUGAAAUUGUAGCAACUGGAGGAGACGGCGGCUCAACGGCCAUCUGCCGGCGGCGAAUAAAAAACGGUAAAUAUGGUGCUAGGGUUUAAGUUGUUGAAAGCUCAAAAGAGAAAAUGGAAAGUGUAAGCGUUUAGUUAAGAGGUAAUGAGCAGAAAUAUAUUUAAACAGAAACAGCGGACUGGGGGUUGUCGCCGGAGUGUUUGUACUAUGGUUUUCUCGCUCUUGUAAUAAUUUAUUAGUAGAUGCCUGGAUGAUCAAUUUAUAAAAUAUUCUACAUAAAAAUAUUUUAUAUAAAUAUUUUAUGCAGUUAAUAAACAUUUUUUUUUAGUGAAUGCAGUUAAUAAAUUUGACAUAUUAUUACAGGUUAUCAAUUUUUUAUAGAAAAUUUAAAAAAAUAAUUUGAUAAGUAAAAUAUUUCAUAGUAUACUGUAAAAAACUUAAAUUUCAAUUUAUUGUGUUUUUUUAAGUUUUAUUUCUCUUAUUUUUAACAUUACCACCUUUUAGUUUAGGCAAAAGACAUAACUCCUCUGCUUUGUUUGUAGUAGUAUCUUCUUUAUUUUGGUCUAGACUUUUUAAUUCUAUCCAAUUCAAUAAUUUUAACAUAAAAUUUUAUAUUUAUCUUAUGAAAUUUAUUGUAUUUAAAAUUAAAUUUACGAUUUUUUAUGAGGAGUCAAACUCUUAUCAACAAAUUAAAGAUUAAAAUAAUCGAACAACUAAGUUAUUUGUACCUUUCACUAGGACAUACUUGUUAAAGUAGAUUAGAAUUAUGUUGCAACUAUAUAUAUGGCAUCUUAAUUGUUGAUGGACUAUAUAUGGAGUUCUUUGGAGGCUAGAAUCUACAUGAAAAUAGGUGUAUAUUAUUAUAAAAGUAAAUGGCAGAUAUGCAUAUAUCUUACGCUUCUCAAGUUUUACUAUAUAGGGGAUUCUUUGUUCUUAUUUCACUUUUUUUUAAUGAAUGGAAAGAUAAAAAUGUCAAAAAAAAUUCUUUUCUAUUCUAUUCGUCAUGUAUGAAAAUUAUUACAGUCUAUUCUAUUCGUCCAUGUAUGAAAGUUAUUAAAGACUUGAAGUAAAUAAGUUGAUACCUUGGUUAGAAAAACAAAAGGAGUAAAACGAAAGUUUUUCUUUUUCUUCCAACAAAAGAAGUUGAAAGUGCUGGAAUUCGUUAACACUGGCCCAUUUACCUGCCUGGCAGCUUUUCUCUUCUUUUUUUUUUUUUUUUUUUUCUUUUCUUUCUAUUGAAUAUAAUGGUUGCCAUUAUCUUUGCUCGUAUCUUUUUGUGAAUUCCAAAGUUUGCUCCUUUACAUUUUUCCAUUCACGUCCUUUUCUUUUUCCUUUUUCUCCCUUCUUUGGCCAGAACUUUUCAAUGAUUAGCAGUUUAGUACCAUACUUUGAAACACAAAAGUUAUUAAAUUCACAGAUCUUUUUAUACUUCCUGUGUCGCAUUUCAUGUGGCAUUUUUUUUUUUUUUUAUCUUGAUACGAUAUAUUUUUAAAAGAAGUGUGUGUUUUAAAACAACUUUUAGAUAUUUAUCUGUUUGUGAAUUAUUUGAUUAAGAAGAGAAUUUUAAAGUUAAAUUGUUUCUGACUACAGUAAGGUGACACUACUUUUUAAAUGAAUUAAAAAAAAAAAUGUGUCACAUAAAGUGAAGCGAAGGGAUUAGUUUCUAAUAAAUGAGGUUGUUAAAGUAUUUGGUGACAAUGAUAAUUGGGUACUUGUAACUUAUAAGUUGUCUGAAUUUUAAAGAUAUAUUUUAUACUACUUAUUAAUUUUAAAAUUCAAAAUGGAUAAAAUUAAGAUUAUUAAUUCACUAGUAGAAGCAAUCUAAUCCGAUUCUUACAACGAAUUUCAGCUAGUAAAGAACAAGCAUCUUGUUUGGUGAUGAAUUUAAUAAUCAAAUUUUGAAUUUUAAACUUUUUUAAUACUCCUAGUAUGCUAUACUAAGUGGCUUUUGUCUUUUAUGAGUUUGAAUAACGACAUUAAUUAUUAGAUGCUUCAAUUGUGUUUGGAAGACACACCAAUUAUUGUUUAAGAACGAUUAGUACAAAGAAUGUUUGUUAAUGCUUUUCAUUUGCCAGGCUUGCAUUGCAUGGAUAUAUAAUAAAGUCCAUAGUUAACAGAGUGUAAGAAGCUAAGAGGGAAGAUCUACUAGUGAGAAGAGGGAGGAUGGAACACUAAUGAGAAAAUAUAAUACUUAAUUAUCUGCAUUCAGUGAGUGACAGAUACAGUAUUUUGAAAUUUAUAUAUUCGUAUAACAAUUUCAGUAAAUAAUGUAGGUAUUUAGUAGAUUUCUUAAACAUUGAAAAGAGAAGUAUACAUUAAUCAAAUAACCAAAAAUAUGUAUUACUCCCUCCUUUCGUUCGAAUUUACUUAUUACUAUUUUUCUAAUUUGAUUUUCAUUUUUACUUAUUAUUUUUGACAAAUUAAAAAAGACAAAAAAAAUUCAUGUUAAACCCUUAGUAUUAAUUACUUAUUUUUCAAAUUAUCUUUCAAUAUGCCUAUUACUAAACAUCAAUUAAUAGAGGUAAUAAUAUGAUAAAGUCAUUAUAUCCAUCAUUAUUUUCUUAUGGUCAGAGGCGGACCUACGUAUAGAGUAGGGGGUGUACGUGCACCCGCUAGCCCCAAGAAAAACUCUGUAUAUGUAGGUUGUAUAUCUGUAUAUAUACCAAUUAAUUUAACUAAAUAUAUGUUGUGUACCCUCAAAGAUAGUUUGUGUUGGUGCAGUGGUUGAACUUGUAGCAUAAAAUUUUUUUUUGGGUGGAGGACUUUGGUUCGAAACCCACCCAACUACAAUUGUUUUAUUACUCCCUUUUCCAAGUACAAUUUGCUGCAGCAUUUGCAUUAUUGCUGCUGUCUUCCCAGACAACAUUGACACACACAAUAUUUAUGUAUUUUUAAUUUUAUUCCAAAAAUACAAGCUCUCCUCCAAUUUCAAAAGGCAAAUUCCCCCUAUCUUAUACUAUAUAAUGUUUAUUUUACUUUAAUUUUUUAAUCAUUGACUUAUUUUGUAUUUAAAAAUUAGCAAUUUAAAGUUUGAAAUAGGCUUAAAUGCAACGUUUUCUCGUAGCAACCAUUUAGCAAACAAAUCUCUCAGAUUUUCUAUUUUUCAAAAACUCUCUAUUAUUGUUGAAAAUAUAAAAGUGCAUCAAAUUUAAGUAUGGUGAAUAAUACUCUUUUGUCAUAUUAAACCAAAUUAAUGAUAUUUAAUAAUAUUAAGUUUUCAAAGAACUAUAUGUCAAAUUUUGGCACUAUCAAUUAUUAUGUUUAAAUAUAAAGGUGCAUCCGUCAAACUCAAAUCCUGGGUUCGCUUUUGCUUAUGGUUGUGCUAUUUCAAAAAACGACUAGUAAAAACAAACGAAAAGAGUAUUUAAUUGGCUACUUGAACUUUUAUCUCAGCGGUAAGAAUUCGAUUUUCCAUCUAAUUACCCCCUCUCUCGUUUUUCCUUCCCCAACAUUCAAUUUUAAAGAUGAAAAAGAAUUUACACUAAAAACUAGUAUUGUGUUUUGACCCUCAAAUUAUAUAUUCCUAAUUAUGUUAUCAUGAUAUGAGGAACACAUGUGAAUAAUAUGUAAUAUAGUUUAGAAGUGAGAUAGUAUUACCAACACGGGUUAUGGUGUAGUGGAUGAGGUUGCUCCAUUCUUAAUUAGAGGUUGAGGGUUCGACCCUAGUAUGGAGAAAACUCAGUUGAGAGCGCUACCCCCCAAAUGGGGGCCCUACCCGGCACAAAUUUGGAUUAAUCGGACUUCAAUGCGGGUACCGGACACCAGAAAAAAAAAAAAAAAAAAAAAAGAGAGAGAGAGAAAGAGAGUAUUAGGCGGCAAAUGAGUUGAAAUUCAGUGGUGUAGAACGUGAGACCGUUAGUUUCGCAGAAGAUGGGGGUCGCCUGGUCGGGACCCGAAAUAUAUAUUUGUUGCCUUUAUCUUUUUUUUUUUUUUUUUUUUUUUUUUUUUUUUUUUUUUUUUUUUUUUUUUUUUUUUUUUUUUUUUUUUUUUUUUUUUUUUUUUUUUUUUUUUUUUUUUUUUUUUUUUUUUUUUUUUUUUUUUUUUUUUUUUUUUUUUUUUUUUUUUUUUUUGUAGA